AUUGAACGCUGGCGGCAGGCUUAACACAUGCAAGUCGAACGAGUGGCGGACGGGUUAGUAAUGCAUGGGCAUGUCGGUUGUGGAGGAGGAUAACUAAGGGGAACUGUAACUAAUACCGCGCACAAGAGGAUGGGUCCAAGUGGGAUUAGGUAGUUGGUGGGGUAAAGGCUCACCACGCAGAGGAUCUCUAGCUGGUCUGAGAGGAUGACCAGCCACACUGGAACUGAGACACGGCCCAGACUCCUACGGGAGGCAGCAGUGGGGAAUAUUGGACAAUGGGGGCAACCUGACGCAGCCAUGCCGCGUGUAUGAAGAAGGCCUUCGGGUUGUAAAGUUCUUUCGGUAGCGAGGCGUUACCUACAGAAUAAGCACCGGCUAACUCCGUGCCAGCAGCCGCGGUAAUUC
rnacentral:rRNA from 1 species